GCCUUCAUGAAGCCGGAAUUGCUAGUAAUGGCAGGUCAGCAUACUGCCGUGAAUACGUUCCCGGGCCUUGUACACACCGCCCGUCACACCAUGAGAGUUGGGAAUACCCGAAGCCUGUGAGCUAACUAAUAGAGGCAGCAGUCGAAGGUAGAAUCAAUGAUUGGGGUGAAGUCGUAACAAGGUACC
rnacentral:rRNA from 1 species